rnacentral:rRNA from 1 species
GCGCGAAAGUGUGACGGGGCUACCCCGAGUGCUCUCCGCUGAGGAAAGCUUUUCCCUGGUGUAAAAAGCAGGGGGAAUAAGGAGAGGGCAAGACUGGUGUCAGCCGCCGCGGUAAUACCAGCUCUCCGAGUGGUGAGGAUGAUUAUUGGGCCUAAAACGUCCGUAGCCGGCUUAGCAAGUUCUCUGUUAAAUUCAACGACCUAUUCGUUGAGCUGCGGGAAAUACUGUCAGGCUAGGAGGCGGGAGAGGUCGACGGUACUUCCGGGGUAGGGGUGAAAUCCUAUAAUCCCGGGAGGACCACCAGUGGCGAAGGCUGUUGACUAGAACGCGCUCGACGGUGAGGGACGAAAGCUGGGGGAGCGAACCGGAUUAGAUACCCGGGUAGUCCCAGCUGUAAACGAUGCGAGCUAGGUGUUGGAAUGGCUACGUGUCACUCUAGUGCCGCAGGGAAGCCAUUAAGCCUCGCCGCCUGGGAAGUACGCGCGAAAGUGCGCGAAAGUGCGCGAAAGUGCGCGAAAGU